ensembl:lncRNA
CUGUGGGGCAGCAACUGAAUUUGCUCUUCGAUGUUUUCUGUUUCAUCUCUGCCAUCGUGUUUUUGCACCCUGAACUUCCUUAAGCGAGGCUUUUGCAGGUUGCUAUACAGAAUUUAUCCCCAAAGAACUGAAAUAUGUAACAGAGAAAUGAGGUUUCAUUGCCAUGUCUUUGUGGUUCUUUCGUUGUUGUUGUUUUUUUUUUAGUCAAGACUAUUAUGGUCCUGAACAUUUGACAAUGGCACAAAAAGAACCAGAGUUCACACUGGUAUUUGCAUAAUUUGCAUGAGGAAGGCUGAAAUGCUUCAAGAACACACCAUGCGAAGUUCAGGAAGAUGACACUUCUCAUAUGAGAGUACCAUGACUGGAGUAAAGCUCUGCUGGAGCAAAAUUCCGCUGAAGUCAAUGCGAGACUGACAGACGGGCUGGGUUACCAUAUGUUUCCACUGACUGGGACACAUCCUGUGACCUCAACGGUGCCACGCAGAUGCCCCAUCACCUAUCUCCUGUGGGAUGCUCUGGGGACUACCUCGGGGUGUUCCUGAGGAAGUGACCAUCUGGUCAUGUCAACCGAGGAUGGUCUGGUCAGCAUUCUUUUCCAUUUCCACCUCUCCCCACUCUUGUGAGUAAAUCUCAGCUUUGGAUCAUUUAACACCAGGUCACAGAAGCUUCAGAAAUAGCAUAUCUAAGGAUGGAAGACUUUUAGACUUCGCAUGUACCAAAUUAAAGAGCUAAAGAAAAUUUAAAGCGAUUAAUAUUUUUAUUUCUUAAUUACAGCAGCAUCAUUUUAGAAGCAAUUUGACUGACUGAUAUUUAAUGGG